GGAUUUAGCUCAGUGGUAGAGCGUUUGCUUAGGAAGCGCAAGGCCCUGGGUUCGGUCCCCAGCUCCA
rnacentral:tRNA from 1 species